GGACUACCGGGGUUUCUAAUCCUGUUUGCUCCCCUUGCUCUCGCGCCUCAGCGUCAGGUCAUAGCUAGAAAACCGCUUUCGCCACAGGUGUUCUUCCACAUAUCUACGCAUUUCACCGCUACACGUGGAAUUCCGUUUUCUCCGCCAUACCUCUAGAUUUAUAGUUUCAAAUGCAGCUCCGAAAUUGAGCCCCGGAAUUUCACAUCUGACUUAUAUAUCCGCCUACGCGCCCUUUACGCCCAAUAAUUCCGAUUAAUGCUUGCACCCUCCGUAUUACCGCGGCUGCUGGCAC
rnacentral:rRNA from 1 species